rnacentral:rRNA from 1 species
AGCAUGGUCUUAGCUUGCUAAGUUUGAUGGCGACCGGCGCACGGGUGAGUAACACGUAUCCAACCUGCCGAUGACUCGGGGAUAGCCUUUCGAAAGAAAGAUUAAUACCCGAUGGCAUAGUUCUUCCGCAUGGUCGAACUAUUAAAGAAUUUCGGUCAUCGAUGGGGAUGCGUUCCAUUAGGUUGUUGGUGAGGUAACGGCCCACCAAGGCGACGAUCAGUAGCCGGCUUGAGAGAGUGAACGGCCACAUUGGGACUGAGACACGGCCCAAACUCC